ACGGAUUUCACAGUGAGCGAACA
rnacentral:miRNA from 10 species